UAAGUGUGUCCCCUUAGCCACUGAGCUUGA
rnacentral:piRNA from 1 species